CUUAAUUUUAAUGAUGAGUAUAAUAUCACAAAAUGAAAGGUGAUUAAUGCAAUAAAUAAUUAUUACAGGCAGUUAUGCACAUUCUAAUAUUUAAACAGAGAAAAUAAAUUUAAUUAUUGAAAACCGACAUACAAAACCAAACCAAGAACAGUAAUAAAUUUAACUAUUCACCACUGCACAUUGCUUCCUAAUCUCACCAGCAGAACCAGUUUUGACAUUGAUUCUGCCCAUUUUCUCCAUGGAAGUAGCAAAUUCAGCAUAGAAAUUUUGCAGUGAACCACUGAGCAGCUGGUUGAUUGUGGUCAAUGUAGCAGAGUUUGUGGUCAAGGCGGAAUCUGAUUGGAAAAGUCCUCUUCUCUUAAGCAAAUUAGAAUAGUAGCUAAGAUCGAAUGUUUUUCGACUUCCAGGAUCCAUCUCAACAAUGGUGGUAUUGUCAUUAGGAGUUGUGCACUUCCUUGCCUUGAGAUUUGCAGCAUAUUCGCUAUCCAGAGCAGGGUCCUGAUCGCCUACGCCUGUAAAAUUGUAUAGCCGAUUUGAAAAUGAUGAACAAUGAGCUACCCCGAUUGUGUGUGCGCCUGCAAGCACCACCAAGUCUUUCAGGUCCAGUCCCACAUUAGCAAAUAGUCUUUGGAGAUUGGUGAAGUUGCUCGUCGGAGGAGGGAUGCUUGCCAAGGCUUCUGAGGUAUUUGAGAUUGUCCCAUCCCUUCUUCCUGUUGGAACUCUCCAGGAAGGACCACCCUAUUGAACCCAAGAAAAAAGGAAAUAUUGAGAAAAGUUAGUAAUGGGUUGGAGUUAGUUUUGGAAAUUAAUUUGAGUAGUCCUUACAGUAGCUACUAUAGAGUCCCUGGCAACCAAAGCAAUAAUAUCUGCACAAGAAACUACACCAGGGCACGCUGCUUCCAGCAAGCUCUUAACUCUAUCGAUGAAAUCAAAGCCUCUCACUGUUAGAUUUGGAGUUGCAGAUUUUUCAGUUUGAUUGGUUGAUGUUGAGUUUAUAAGCACAGAUGCAUCACAACCUCUGACAAAACAAUCAUGGAAGUGCAUUCUGAUAAGGGUUGCUGCCAGUGAUGGAGCAUUAUGAAUAUGCUGGUUAACAAAAUCUUGCACAAUCUGCUCAGCUCUUGGGCAGCUUUGAGCAUAAAAACCCAACUGAAGCUGAGCUUCAGUUGAGCCUAUAUAUGCUAAAAUUGCAAAGACAAAUAUCCUUAAGAGUCCCAAGCCUUGCAUGUUUUUUGUUGGAUUGGGAGUUCAGAUAUGAGAGGCUUCUAUUUAUGUAGUGGUGAUGCCCAACAUUAGAUAAAAGAUUUACAGGCCUUAAUUUGUGCAACAAGAAAGGGACCAU
rnacentral:misc_RNA from 1 species